CCUACGGGAGGCUGCAGUAGGGAAUCUUCCACAAUGGACGAAAGUCUGAUGGAGCAACGCCGCGUGAGUGAAGAAGGGCUUCGGAUCGUAAAGCUCUGUCAGCAGGGAAGAAAGUUAGAUGUGGUAAUUAGCAUUUAUUUGACGGUAAUUGCUUAGAAAGUAACGGCUAACUACGUGCCAGCAGCCGCGGUAAUACGUAGGGGGCGAGCGUUGUCCGGAAUUAUUGGGCGUAAAGCGCUCGUAGGCGGUUCGAGAAGUCUAAUGUGAAAUCCUUGGGCUCAACCGGGGAACUGCCUCAGAAACUGGUGAACUUGAGUGCAUGAGAGGAGAGUGGAACUCCAGGUGUAGCAGUGGAAUGCGUAGAUAUAUGGAAGAACAUCAGUGGCGAAGGUGACUCUCUGGUAUACAACUGACGCUGAGGCGCGAAAGCAUGGGUAGCGAACAGGAUUAGAUACCCGGGUAGUC
rnacentral:rRNA from 1 species